GCCCGGAUGGCGAAAUUGGUAGACGCAAGGGACUUAAAAUCCCUCGGUGGAGACACCGUGCCGGUUCGACCCCGGCUCCGGGCACCA
rnacentral:tRNA from 1 species